rnacentral:rRNA from 1 species
GUGCCAGCAGCCGCGGUAAUACGUAGGUGGCAAGCGUUAUCCGGAAUUAUUGGGCGUAAAGCGCGCGUAGGCGGUUCUUUAAGUCUGAUGUGAAAGCCCACGGCUCAACCGUGGAGGGUCAUUGGAAACUGGAAAACUUGAGUGCAGAAGAGGAAAGUGGAAUUCCAUGUGUAGCGGUGAAAUGCGCAGAGAUAUGGAGGAACACCAGUGGCGAAGGCGACUUUCUGGUCUGUAACUGACGCUGAUGUGCGAAAGCGUGGGGAUCAAACAGGAUUAGAUACCCUG